rnacentral:lncRNA from 1 species
GGGAAAGAAGAAAACUCCCCUGAUCAUGGUGGCAGUUGCCAAUUUUGGACUUUUAGGGAGAUCUCAUCCACCACAGGAUUCAGCAAGGAGGUGUUGAGGAAGAACUGCUUCAUCCUCCAUAUUUGAUCAAGCAGGGAGAUGUCCUCCAUAGUUGGAUCUAAGAAGUAGUGAUUGUUGAUGAGCAGGUUCAGCUGGUGCCUAUUAAUCUUCAAACUGUCGGCACCUUUGUCUUCCACCAUGGGUGUG